GUUUAGUGACGCAUAACCAUUAUGCGUCGUUGUUCAGUGCCGCAUAAGCAUUAUGCGUCUUUAAAUAAUGACGCAUAAGCAUUAUGCGUCUUUUCUUAGCGACGCAUAACACUUAUGCGUCUUUGGCCUGUGACGCAUAAAGCUUAUGCGUCUUCCGGCGGGUUUUAAAACAGGCAGUGAAGGCUUCUCACUUCGCAUCACAGACAGAACCCAAGCGACGAUUCCCAGCAAAUUCCGGCGAUUCCGAGCAAUUUCUGGUGAAUUUCCACCAUUUUGCAACCAUAUUCCGAUGACAUCUGCAAGUUCCGAAUAGCAGUUAUGUUAUGGACCUGAGGAUUCAUCAUUACUAUUUCAUCAAAACGAACACAUUUCAGCCUCAUUGUUGGCAAAUGGCACAACGUGUUGAGAGUUCGUAGGACGGAGAGUAAGGUUUGGGCAGUGCCAAUAUAUGAAAAUGUGAUGUAUUGGCUUGAUGUAUGGGGUUUCAGAGGCGUGGUUGAAUGUGGAAGGCCGAUGAGGAUGGACAAUGAGCUUAUAACUGCCUUGAUCGAGCGCUGGAGGCCUGAGACACACUGUUUCCACCUUCCAGUUGGUGAAGUUACCGUAACCUUACAUGAUGUGCAAAGCCUGUGGGGUUUGAGAGCAGACGGUCGUGUUUUCACUGGCCGUGACUACCCUGUUGGAUAUAAAGAGUGACCCAGCAAGUGUAGAGAUGUGUUGGGAUGGAUACCUGACUGAGAAACAAAAACGAAGCACGUUGGUUUGUUGAUGACAUCUCUGAUCCACCAAGCGACCAUGCUGUUGGGUGAUGGGCUGCAUGAUUAUGCAUACAUCCAAAGAGCACGCAUACAUGCUCUGAUCUUGUUAGGGGGGCUUAUUUUACCGGACACCACAGGAUGCAAGGUCCUCUUUAUGUGGUUAAAUGCCUUUGACGAUCCGGAAGAAGUAGCUAAUAUCAGUUGGGGUAGUGCUGCUUUAGCAUAUCUGUACCAUUAUUUGUGCGAGGCUUCUGUAGGCAGGCAAAGAAGAGAUGUGGGUGGACCUAUGGUUCUCUUGUAGCUAUGGGCGUGGGAAAGAAUGCCUACAUUGAGGUCAGCCUUCUUGAUAUCGCCUAUGCACACGCCGUAUACCCCGUGCGGAGCCAAGUGGCACGGAGUUACUGAAAUUCGUAAUGCUCCCCGACAUUCAGUAGCUCAUUAUCGUGAUCAAUUAUCACUGAUUCGUCCGGGCCAGAUUAAAUUUAUUUUUGUCGACUUAUUUAAUGAAUUUACUAUAGUAUGAAAUUAAUUGUGUUGUUCAUAUUAUUUUUUUGUAGUUUCUGUGGACACCGUAUGCAGAUUGUAUCAUGCCCGAUUACUGCAUUGAUCCGACUGCAUCCUUCUUGUGCGACACUUAUUUGGUGUGCUGGUCAUUUGUCGAGGCACACAAGGCUGGAUGCGUUUACCGACAACUUAACCGCUACCAACGUAUUCCUCAGUAUUGUGAUAGGAUGCUGCAUAAUGCCAGACAUCUGUGUAAAAGUUAUCGCCGUGGGAGGAAGGGCGCCGAUUGGGCUAAGGUACAUAAAUUCUUCAUUAAUGAAUGGGAUUUGAGACACGACAGGUUCCAAGCAACUUUUGACCAUGCCACGGCGACCAUGGAUGGUCGCAUUAAUCCGGGCUAUAUGGCGUGGUACAAUAGGAUCACAGUGUUGUACCUAGUUCAACCUGCGACACAGUCAACUAUUGGGAUGAACGAGUCAGCCUCUUCAAUGAAGAAAUUGGUUGAGACCCUUCAGGGGAUAUGGCAUUUGACCUCUGAACAUGACACAGAUACGGCAGAUUCGGGAAAUGGCUGCUAGGAUGUGAUGGAGUAUCCAACUUCGUACGACGGAUCAUACUGAUGUAAUGGAGUAUCCAACUUCGCAACGGCGAAAUGUGGUCAUGCCGCCAGGAAGAAGAUGACCAUGAAGACGAGGGCGGGGAAGAAGAUGAUGAAGUUAUAUUUCAACCACCGACCGAGGGAUCCUCACGUCCAACUGAGAAGAGUUCAUCAAGUAAGAUUGGGAAGGCUAUGCACAAUGUAUUAAGGGGGUUUUCCACAAGGAAGAACAAAGGGAAAGCUCCAACAAAGUUCACGCCUUCGGGGAAAUAAUAUUUCAACAAGGAAUAACAAUGUAUUGUUACAUUCAAAUAAUUUUUCUAUUAGUACUAAAAAAUAGUCAUCUAACAAUUUCUUGUUUCAACUUCAAUUCUUGCAAAAAUAAUUCUCAUUUUA